rnacentral:snoRNA from 1 species
GAACCAAGGGAUGAAUUUGGAUUUAUCAUCUCACGACGGUCGUCUGAGGCUGGCUUUGUGUCCAUCGUUGAUGAAUUUCAUCCAAUUAUCUGAUGGAU